rnacentral:misc_RNA from 1 species
AAGUCGUAACAAGGUUUCCGUAGGUGAACCGGAAGGAUCAUUAACACGUAUCCAAACGUUAAACCCCCCUGUGAACCUUCAGUGUACUCGUACGUCCGUUAGAAAAAGCAGCAAUCCCUGGUAAAUCAUCGCCGAACAGUUUUCGAUUCAGGGACGUCUGCAAGGAGCACAGUUAAUGACACUUUCAGACACUAACUGCUUGGGGAUGCCAGGCCACUUGCUUCGCACAACAUGCACGCUCCUGUAAGGAUGACGCAGUCACGAUCGUUGGAGGCCCACACGGCCGACGACCGGGUCACUGGGCGCAAGCCCCCCUAUAACAAACGCUGCCAAUCGCGGCCGCGAUAAUACGCAGUCGACAAAAAACCGAACAACUGUUAACAAU